GAGAGCGGCUGAAGGAACGAGGAUAUUCUGUUCUCCACACUAACUAACGCACCUUACCAUCUUCGCUCUCCAGCUAUGUACCUGCAAUCCGCCCUUGCAGUCCUCGCCCUCCUCCCCCUCCCCCUCUCCUCCCUGGCGGUUGGACAGUGGUAGCGCGGACUGAGCAGCUGGAGUGCGCAGGGCAGGCCGGCAUGCACCUGGAGAGAAACCGCCCCGCCAAGCCGUCUAAAGGGCUCCGCCGGAGACACAGCGUGCACACGGACGCUCCAACAGCAGCGAGGAUAUAGCAGCAGAGCACCGGGCGGAUAUCGGAGCCGCAGCAUGGGCGGGGGAGAGAUAGAGGCAGAGCCAAAAUGAAAGCCAUGUAAUUCCACGGACAUAAGAAGAGGGGUGGGGGGAACCCAGCGUUUGGAUCAGAGUUGUCACGGGUGUAUAUUUGUAUGGGGCUUGGUUUGGUAUCUUGUUCUCUGAAAUUCACCAAACACAGUACUUUUUUUCUCUGCCAACCUCCACUGUGUAGUUUAAAAGGAUGGAGAGAGGCGCACAUCAGCCGCAGCUGUCCAAAAGCGCACAGAGUCCGCCAGAGGACAUCUCCAAAAUCAGUGACGAGGAGCUGCUGAAGUGGGGCAAAGAGGAGCUGGUGCGGCGGCUGCGGAGGGCAGAGGCGGGGAACAGGAGCGCCAUCGUGGAGCACGGAAAUCUGAUGCGGGAGGUGAACCGGAGACUCCAGCAGCACCUGAACGAGAUACGAAGCUUAAAGGACGUGAACCAGAAACUGCAGGAGGAUAACCAGGAGCUGCGGGACCUGUGCUGCUUCCUGGACGACGACCGGCAGAAGGGGAAGCGUGUGUCGCGGGAGUGGCAACGUCUGGGCCGCUACAGCGCGGGCCUGAUGAGGAAGGAGGUGGCCAUCUACCUGCAGAAGCUGAAAGAGCUGGAGCAACGCCAGCUGGAUGUCAUGCGGGAAAACCUGGAGCUCAAGGAGGUGUGCCUCAUGCUGGAGGAGGAGAGGGCCGCGGCCGUGGCUGGAGGAGGGGGAGGGGCAGGCGGUGGAGGUGUGGGCGGGCAUGGAGGCCCCGGCCGUAGGAGCUCCAUUGACAGUCAGAGCAGCUUGUCCCAGCUAGGUGGAAGUGUCCCUGCACCUGGCCUGCUGCGGGACGUCGGCGAUGGGAGCAGCACCUCCAGCGCGGGGAGUACCGAUAGCCCAGACAACCCCCACCUCAAACCUCCUCCCCUGGGCUUCAACGCCAGCCCUGGAUCCAGAGGUGUCUCCUCUGAGCACGCCCAGAAACCCGCUGAUGUGUGCGAAUCAACAGGCAGGAGACACAGCUCCACCCCAGAGUACCACACCUUCCCCCAGUCCUGCCGCCCUCGCGGGGGGUCCCUCACCAAUGCGGAACCCCGUGGCCUUCGGGGACACAGCCCAGAGAAACACAGCAAGUCCCCCACCAGGCUGCCAUGUGACUACCACUCUAAACCCUGCAGCUCUGACCUAUUAGCCCACAAACAGCUAUUUAUGUCUGGGCAGGCUUCAGCAGGCUGUGGGAAGGGCACCGCCAAGUCCAGCCCAGAGCUGAGUCAGAGACACCGGUCGGUUACCAUGGGGCAGGGGUCAGGCUGUGGGAGUCCUGAGGCCAAGCUGGCAGGCAUGGGAACGCCUGAGCACCUGAGGAAAGGCCGGGUGAUUGUGGGUAGUCCAGAGUCUAUACGGCACCACCAUCACUAUCAGCACAGCACCGGGCUGGAGCACGGCAAAGGGACCUAUAGCAGUGGCUCCCCCGGCAGGGACGGGAUGCAGAGGAGGGCAGCGGAAGAGGAGAUGGCUCCCCACCACCAGAGUCUGUACAACGAUCCACAGGAUCUGCCCAUCCAUGACAGGAAUCAAAGUGGAUUGACAGAAAGGGAAAAGUGUCUGUGUCAUACAGUCAGCGAAGCAGUUCAGAGUGAACAAAUACACCUCACUCUCUGAUAUCUGCCGGUUGCUGCACCAACUCCUGUAGGAGUGUAAAGCUUUGGGACAGCUUUGAUACCUCCUGACCAUGAUAUGCCUCUUGAUCAGAUGCUGCUGUGACAACACACACCCCAGAGAGAGGUUAUUAGCAGAAUGGAUGGAUGGUUGGAUGGAUGAAAGAAAGAGUGGAUCGAGAUAAAACUGGAUGGAGAAAUUAUCAUGGAUUUCAAAACCAAGCAGUGAGGGCGAGGGAGCAGAUGAGUGAAACAAGGCGACAAAACACUGGAAACACUUAAACACUCUCUCUGCCCUGUCUGCUGCUGCUGCUAUGCAUUUCCCGUGGACUACCAGAAAAGACUGAAUGUCAUUGUUUGGACGGUCAGAGGCUAAUCAUUGUAUUGCCAAAAUGAAGAAAGAAAAAUAAGACAACUGAGAAUCUUUGUGUUGCCAACUAAAUAGUCCUACCUCUUUGGAAAGACAGAGACUGUCUGGAAGAAAGAACCUUUACACAGAAGAGUAACACUGGAGGUUACAGCCCCGUUUUCUUCACAAUCUCUUCACAAUCACAAUGCCAGUGAUUAUUUUAAAACUUAUAAUACCCAAUAUGUGAUGAUGGUAACUACUUUUACAAAGUCAUUGUGGACCUGGAAUUAAAGCACAAAAGAAGUUACUGAUUCAUUUUAAGUAAAAGAGGAGUUUUGAGUUAUUUUAAAAGAUAAUUCUGUUUUAAUACAAUUCUGGUCAUAUUUCGUAGCCUCAUUUAUAGUAACAUUGUACUCACCAAAGCUAUUGCUGAGAUCUGGGAAUACGGAAACAUCACUACAACAGUCCAACAGGGCAAGAGGUCAGGCAAUCAGACAAGUCAUAAACAAGUUAGUUUAGCUAGAUUAUCUAAAACACUUUAUUCGGAGGUUAUACUGAAAGUGAGUGUACCACAAAUAGUAAUCCCCCACUGCACAUGAAAACUAUGUUCACACCAUUACACACAACUAAUGUUUUCACCUCUCAGUACAUUUGCAGAUUCACUUAUUCACAAGUUUCACAUUCCUUUUCCGUUUCUUUCUUUUCCUUUUUUCAUUUGCAACAAUUAGUCGAUUAGUUAAUUGACAGAAAAAGGUAUGGCAACAAUUUCGAAUCAUUAAUCAUUCUGAGUAAUUAAAUUAUUAGAACGCCAAAGUUCUUUGGUUUCAGCUUCUUAAAUGUGAAUAUGUUCUGGUUUCUUCUAGGAUCUUUGGACUUUGAACUGUCAGACAAAACUAGACGUUUAAGGAGAUCAUGUCCUUGGGCUUUGGGAAAUUGUGAUUUGAUUUGUGAUUGUGAGGAUUGUUCACCAUUUUUUGACAUUCUACAGACAAAACGAUUCAUUGAGAAAAUAAUCAACGGACAAUUGAUAGUGAAAAUAAUUGUUGAGGCCUACUCUCAUUUAACAAAUAUCAGUCUCAUUACAGUUUACUGAUCACACUCACAGCCGUAUCAGAGCUGUCAGAGAUGGCAGAUUCUGACUGCCUUUGACUCGCGUUCUCACUUUCGAAUUCAAAAUGUUGCUAGGCUUAUAAAGUGAAACAUUUCAGGCUGUUCUCAUGAACCAUUUGUAUAUAUAGUUAGAAAAGUAAUGCACUGUAAUUUGUAUGUAUUCAACGUAGUUAUUACUGUAUGCACCAUAUUGACUACUGCUAUAAGACCGCUAAGAUCUGCGUAGGGAGAGGGUUGGGGUGCAUAAAUGCAUCCAACAACACAGACUUUCAAGUAGGGAAGCAGAGUUUGUGUCCUGGAAGAAGUUAAGGGUUAAACACAAGACUUAACUGUAACAGCCGCUAAACUUUACUGUCGUGACCGGUCGUCACGUGACCAGCCGUGACCACCAGUCAUAUAUGAUAUCAUACGAAUUGUUUUGCAUAAGUUUUCUUACGAUUUUAUACAAACCCCUUCAUGAGAAUGCAUUGAACAUUUUCCUACAUGCUAUGUAUCUGUGACGAAAAUUAGCAAAGCUUUGUUGGGGGUGCUAUUGUUAAAAAUUUACCUACACAACAUUAUGGUGAAAUUUGGCACCUCCUGUUAGCAGAUCAUGGAUAAAAAAGAAACAGCAAACCUGACUAAUCACUCAUGUUUUUUUCCCUAAUCAGACGAUUUAGCCAUGUCACUGCGUUCCCAGAUCCCAGCAAUUAACUUGAUUAGAGCUGAAACAAUUAGUCAGUUACGGGAUUAGUCGAUCAACAGAAAAAUAUCUAACUAUUUAGAUAAUCGUUUAAUUGGUUUGGUCAUUUUUCAAGCAAAUAUGGUGAAAAAUGCUACACAUUCUCAGGUUUCAGCUUCGCAAAGGACAGGGUUGUAAUAGUAAACUUAAUGUGUUUGGUUUUUCACUUUUGUGAAGAGCAACGUAGGAAAGCUUUUUUGCACACCUCUUUUGUCGGGCAGGUGCGUAGGAUAUGAUCAAAAGUAGCAGAUAAAAAAGUUUAGAGAAACUCCCGCACACUCACCAUUAUGCAAGCAAUAAUUUAUUUAGAAGAAAAAUACAGAAUACAUGAAAAAUACCUAAGGUCUGAGACCGAAACGUUAUUUUUCUUCUAAAUAAAUUAUUGCUUGCGUAAUGGUCAGUGUGCGGAAUUUUCACUUUUGUUCCAAAAAAGCGAUGGUAUUUUUUCUUUUUACAUUUUUUUGAGAUUUCAUAUAUCAAAUGAUUAUUGGUUAGAUAAUCACAAGAUAGAUAAAUAAUGGGCAGAAUAAACAAUAAUAAAAAUAAUAGUUAGUUGCAGCCUUAAACUUGAUGAGUGCAAUGUUAUUAUUACUGAUAGAAAUUAUGGUGAAAACUAUGACAUUAUAAGCCAGGUUGUAAUAAAGACCAAUUAUACUUUAAAGACCUCCAUCAAACAAACACUUGUUUUCUUUGAGCAUACUGUACAGUCUGUUUGGAAUUACAACACAGCAGUUACCAGCAUAGCUAGCAUUUACCUCCAUUUGAUGAAAAUAAGCUAACAGAGAAGCAAAUGUUCCAGUUGUCAUAUUUGGAAGUUUGCAUAGCUUCUGUGUGAAAUAGUUGUUCCUGUGUAGUUAUGAGGCAUAUGCCCAGGGUGCUGUAACUUUAAGGGUUACAAAGAGAACAUAUAGAGAAUGUGUGGGGAGAAUUUAAAUAUGUUGUUGUUUAUGGGAGAAGAAAAGGUUUAGUUAUUUUCUGCACCUCAUUCAGCUUUUGUGUCAAGGUCUGUUCCUAUACCAACAGUGUUAGAGUAUUCUAAACCUUGUGUUAGCGUUCAGUCAUAUAUAUGGGGCUGUGUGUUUGCUUGUCAUUUUCCACACUCGCAGGUAUUUAGACACGGACAACAUGCCUUGUGCAACAUUUUAUCACAGCAUGUUAAGGAGAUAUGCAGGUGUAGAUGCCAGAAGACACAAAUAGAUCAAGAACAGUGGAUACCCAGCAACACUAUUUUCAGUUUCUCUAGAUUUGAAUGCUUCAAAGCCUAAAAUGAAAACUCAAUAAAUCAUACAGUAUUUUCAUUUACUUAUUUUUAUUUUCACUUGAUUACUACUGAGCUAGCUCUCAGUCGUUGCUAGUCUUUUACGAAAACAAAAUUAAUUUUUUUCACACAUCAUAUAUGAUACAAAGUGCUCCUUCUACUUCAAUAAAGGCAUCUGUGCGUGUGUAAAUGUACACAUACCGGAAUGCAGAAAGCAUAAGAACCAGACAGUAGUCAAGAUUUUUUGUUUUGUUAAUUCAAAGAAUUGAUUUGAAUAAGCUAGCAUUACAGUUAAGUAAAUUUACUAGCUACCGUUGACAUUAGUUGCUGGCUUAAGCCUGAUUUAUGCGUCUGUGUUGAAUCUACGCUGUACCAAGUUUAUGGACCCUACGCCGUAGCCUGACCUGCAUCUUCCCAGAAAUGUGAUUGGUCAACUUAGCUGUGGCAUUUCCGUGUACUCCUUUGUGAACAACAUAAAAUUGAGGGUUAACUUUUCCUGCUACAGAUUUCCUCAGAAAGCAAAGGGGAGACACUUUCUUUUUUUCCGUCUCAAAUGCUAGUCGCUCUGAAGCCAAUCCCCGUCCCUUUCUCUCUUGCUCUACCACACACACACACACACACACACACACACACACACACCGCCUCUGCUAUUCUCCUAAAGAGAUACGCUAGAUCGAUGUAGACACACCAGCAAUCAUGCUAUAAACUUUUACUUGCUACAGAACAUUGAUGACAUUGACAACUACUUAAAUUAUAAAAUAAAAUCAAGCCUCUUGUAUUUUGAAAAUUAAACUCUUUAGUAUCACCAUUUCAAUAUAAAGAUAUUAACCACUCAGCCCUACCUUGAGUUAACCCAUAGUUGUGCUCAUAGGUCUUAUGCUAUUAGGUUUCUAAGUAGUAGGAGUAAGCUAUAUUUAUUGUGUGUGGGUUAGUGGAGAUUUCUUGGAUUUAAUGAAUAAAUGCUCCCACAUACACACCCCUUUUAAACUCUUGUUUUAUGCUUUGCUUUCACAGAGGAAAACAGAUUUCACUGAAAGCACAGAUGCACCAAAUCCAAGGUCAGGAUUUUACAAGAAAUGGCAAACUGACUUAGCAAAACAGAACUUGCAGUUUGUGUCGGAAAUGUUUAAAAUCAUGCAUUAGAGAUCCAACUUGGCCCGUAUGUUUUGUGACAGGAAGCUUGGUUUCAGCAGGAUUAGCAUUCCAGGAUGUCUGUCCUCACCAAAAUACAUAAGGUGAUUUAUUCCAAUUUAUUAUAUUUUUUUUAAAGCAUUCAUUUCAACUGCAUUUUCUAAAAGUAUUUUCAGGAUUUCCACAACCAGAUUAAAUUAUCAAGAUGUGUUGUCCUAAUAAAACUGGAUGUGCGAAAAAUGUGACAUUUUACUUGGUGAACACACAGUAGCUCAUAAUAAUAUACACAAUCAUACAUACAUGCACACAUAUACAUUUAUCCAGAAUCCAUACUGUAUAACCUCUUCACCCCAGACAGAUGAAACAAGACAAGAACUAUAAUAUAUUAUCAAAGAAAUUAUGUUUUUAAAAGUCAAGAGUAGGAUAUCUGCUUAGUUUUAUAAAUAUAUAACAAUUAUUAUUUUUGACUUCUUGGUAUUAUAUAUUUAAUUAUAAGUAAUAUGUAUGUAAUGUAUAAGCUAAUAAAGUGUCUUUAUGUAAAAUUGA